CGGCGGACGGGUGAGUAACGCGUGGGUGACCUGCCCCAUACCGGGGGAUAACAGCUGGAAACGGCUGCUAAUACCGCAUAAGCGCACAGAGCUGCAUGGCUCGGUGUGAAAAACUCCGGUGGUAUGGGAUGGGCCCGCGUCUGAUUAGGCAGUUGGCGGGGUAACGGCCCGCCAAACCGACGAUCAGUAGCCGGCCUGAGAGGGCGACCGGCCACAUUGGGACUGAGACACGGCCCAA
rnacentral:rRNA from 1 species